AGAGUUUGAUCCUGGCUCAGGAUGAACGCUAGCGGCAGGCUUAACACAUGCAAGUCGAGGGGCAGCGGGGAGUAGCAAUACUCCGCCGGCGACCGGCGCACGGGUGCGUAACGCGUAUGCAACCUACCUUUAACAGGGGCAUAACACUGAGAAAUUGGUACUAAUUCCCCAUAACAUUCGAGAAGGCAUCUUCUUGGGUUAAAAACUCCGGUGGUUAAAGAUGGGCAUGCGUUGUAUUAGCUAGUUGGUGAGGUAACGGCUCACCAAGGCAACGAUACAUAGGGGGACUGAGAGGUUAACCCCCCACACUGGUACUGAGACACGGACCAGACUCCUACGGGAGGCAGCAGUGAGGAAUAUUGGUCAAUGGACGCAAGUCUGAACCAGCCAUGCCGCGUGCAGGAAGACGGCUCUAUGAGUUGUAAACUGCUUUUGUACUAGGGUAAACGCUCCUACGUGUAGGAGUCUGAAAGUAUAGUACGAAUAAGGAUCGGCUAACUCCGUGCCAGCAGCCGCGGUAAUACGGAGGAUCCAAGCGUUAUCCGGAUUUAUUGGGUUUAAAGGGUGCGUAGGCGGUUUGAUAAGUUAGAGGUGAAAUCCCGGGGCUUAACUCCGGAACUGCCUCUAAUACUGUUAGACUAGAGAGUAGUUGCGGUAGGCGGAAUGUAUGGUGUAGCGGUGAAAUGCUUAGAGAUCAUACAGAACACCGAUUGCGAAGGCAGCUUACCAAACUAUAUCUGACGUUGAGGCACGAAAGCGUGGGGAGCAAACAGGAUUAGAUACCCUGGUAGUCCACGCAGUAAACGAUGAUAACUCGUUGUCGGCGAUACACAGUCGGUGACUAAGCGAAAGCGAUAAGUUAUCCACCUGGGGAGUACGUUCGCAAGAAUGAAACUCAAAGGAAUUGACGGGGGCCCGCACAAGCGGAGGAACAUGUG
rnacentral:rRNA from 1 species